rnacentral:misc_RNA from 1 species
GUGAAUCAUCGAAUCUUUGAACGCACAUUGCGCCCCUCGGAAUUCCGUGGGGCAUGCCUGUUCGAGCGUCAUUAUCACCAUCAAGCUCUGCUUAGUGUUGGGCGCUUGUCCUGCGGGAAACCGCGCGGACUCGCCCUAAAGAUAUUGGCAGCGGCCUGCCGGGCCUCCUAAUAGCGCAGCACUGUUGGCGCGUCCUGGAGCCUGUGUAGAGCAGCAUCCAGCAAGUCUCCUCAAGAUUGACCUCGGAUCAGGUAGGGAUACCCGCUGAACUUAAGCAUAUCAAUAAGCGGAGGA